AUCCAUAAUCCUUCCCCAAAAACCUCACCGUAGUGCCGCCUACCACUCCCAUGGCGUUCCCAGCCUGUGCCGGGCUGGGCCUGCACUGAUUUAUGUGGCAGUCCCGUGUCAUACUCUCAACCUGAAAAGGAUUUGCUCUCAUAUAUUUACCAGGGUGGUCAGGGCAGCUCUCUGGAAACACAGAAAGCCUAGUGUCUGGGCCUCACUCCCAGACAGUAUUUUUACCCCUCUGUGCCAAUAACCUGGACAUUUUGGACCUUACCAGAAUCAGAUGAAACUCCAGUGUUUCCAGAGUGGUGUGUUUCAGCAGUGCAGAGGUCAGAGUCCAUGCACCCGCGCCUACACAGCCGCAUGGCCACGUUUUGGUAUGCAGAUACACAGACGCAGGGUCCAGUUAAGAUUUCCACGUGCAUCUUACUGUGAAGACAUGAUAAGGAGAAGAUUUCCAGCAAAAUAAUGCAGAAUUUGACAUGAAAGAUUCAUCUCUUCCUCCCCUCGAAAAGUGACGGUAAGAGUGACAGAGGCCAUGUAGGAAUGAGCUUACAGAUUCAACAUGUUUAAUGAUACAGAUGAAGUGAAAGCUGUGGAAAAUGCAGGGAAAGCUUUACAUUCAAUGGAUGAUAGGGGGUGAUGAAUCAUGUUGUGUAUUCUGGGAUAUGUGCUGUAUGUUUGAAAGACAGUAUUUAUUAAACCAUUAGAAUGAAGCUCAUUUCCCGCUCUUCACCUUAAUGGAUUCUUUAUUUAAAGACAGGGUUGUUUGAUUCAUUAGUGAAUAGUUAUUUUUACAUGUCUAAUUUUACAGUAUACAGUGUGUCUGUGGAGUUUAUUGUACCUAAUCGUGUGUGUCCUGGAAUGUGUGCGCUCAUCAUAGUUGUCUUUUUGUCUGUGCCUCCAUGUGCCCAUGUGCCAACACAAGUGUGUGCCCAUAUGUGGGUGUAUGAGUGCUUCACUGUUACUCUGUGCCUGUGUGUAUGUGUGUGUGUGUGUGUCCAUGUGUGUGCCCAUGUGUGCUGUAUGCAGCCUAUUAGUGGAGUUUAACCCCUGUGUUCAGGGAGUCACAUCCCCUCAACACACCAGGCUCCAUUCUUACUGCAGCACGUUAACAUUUUAACUCUCUUCCCUCCCCACCCACCCCCUUCACUUUUGUCCUAAGAGGGCAAUUAAGGAAACAAACGUUUUCCCCAAGAUAAGCUGGCUGCCAGCUUUGCAUACUAAUGCAAUGCCAAGUGCUUACAAAUAGUGAGUGCUCUAAUUACCGCCACUGUUUUCAAUCAGAAAUUGCUCAAUUUCCCAGGAUGAGGUCUCCAUGGCUGGAGAGAAAAAGCACAACCUGACAGAGGCAAGAGACAAUCAUCUCUAUGUGCAGUGUGGCUGAUUUUGUCUGCCUAUGUGUGUGUGUGUGUGUGUGUGUGUGUGUGUGUGUGUGUGUGUGUGUGUGCUUAUGUGCCCACAUGUGUGCACGUGUUGGUGCAAAUAAUAAUCUGCCUCUAUGUGUAGACCCCGGCACAACCCUCUCCAUCACUGCUGCCCUUGACAAGUCAAGAAAUGGAUCCUGUCAGCCUCUACAGCAUUUAGCACCACAAUUAUCCCCCUUUUCCAUGCCUGGAUGCAUUAAUGUAAACCACACCAGACAGUAGUUGCCACUUAGUGAUGAGCAUGAUGUGGUGCACCAUCUCUGGGUGAGCAAUUUGAUGCAAUUGUGUUGCUGUGUGAUCAUCAGUGCAAAUCAGGGCCUGCUCAUUUAUUAAGCAAUUUCUGUUAGAGAAAAUUAAAAGGAAGGCUCUUUUAAUUUGGCAGGAGAUAGUAAUAUCUCUAAAAGCAACAAUAAUGCAUAAUGUGGCUGACAUCAAACAAAAAAACAAUAUUGGAGCGAGUUUAGCCCGCAUCAGGGAGGUGUCUACUAAUCUGAAAGGAAUAGGCAUCGUCAUGUGGCCACCAGGAGUAGGGGGCAGUACAGACCAAAGUGACAAGGAUUCACUCCUUGGGUGUGAGAAUAAGUCACUCCAUAGGAUGCGCACACAGGACCCAUCCGUUGGCCUUAGCUGACCUUCAGCUCUGACGGUGGCUAAUGGAGAGCUGGCCCUCGAUCAAUGCACUGAGAGACCGGGCUCCCCAUCCCUGCCCUUUCACCAGGCCAGGAAGGGACGGAUGCUGCCAGGAGCCACGCCGUGGAGCCAUCGACCCUGCCACUUUCCCAUCCUGUGGGUGACAGCUGCAGUGCCAAUGAGCCUGGGGAAGCCACGCUGCCCUUCCAUGUAGGAAGGACAGCCAGCAACUCUAUCUCUGUGGUAGCGGGAAGUAAAGUCACUGAUGAUCUGCUUGUGAAUGUCAGAUCCAUGUUAACAACCCCAGCAAACACUUUGGUGUUGAGUAGAUGUUGAUAUGACAGCUUGCACUAGAGUUGAAAACCUGCAUAGCAAGAUGGAACUUGGUGCAUUAUUAUGUGGAAUAUGUUUAUGUUUUCAGCUCAAAACUUUUUCCAAAGCUCUUUCAAAGUGUUUCUCCAUUGCAUUGAGUUGUAAAAAUGCAGUGCUUAUUAGUGUUGGUGUAAACAUAAGCAUCUAUCAAAUGCAUGCUGCGACAGCUUUGUUUGUAAAAAUAUAUUCCACCUUAUUGCUUUAAUUUAAAUUGAGUUAGACCAAAAGCUGAGAACUCCUGUAACCUUUUGUCAGUAAAAGUUGAAGUCACAUCAAUAUAAAACCAGACUCCUGCAUAACCCUUGUCAAAGUUAGAACUUGUGUUUGCAUUUUGAUCGUUCUUUGCAUUCGUUGUGCACUUCAAAUGUUACCGUAGGGAAUAUAUCUUUAUCAUGCUGCACCAUGUUGCUAAGAGGUGCCUGAUGUUGUGCUUGGUGGUGUACUUUGUAACCCAGAUGGUGCACCACUGUAUACCUUUUAUCAGCCUUUUCUGUCAAUAAAAAUGUCUGCAUAAUAAAAAAAAAAAACACAAAACCAUAUUUACUGUGCAUUUUAAUU